GAUGAACGCUAGCGGCAGGCCUAACACAUGCAAGUCGAGGGGUAGAAUUAGCUUGCUAAUUUGAGACCGGCGCACGGGUGCGUAACGCGUAUGCAAUCUGCCUUGUACUGAGGGAUAGCCCAGAGAAAUUUGGAUUAAUACCUCAUAGUAUUAUGAUGUGGCAUCACAUUAUAAUUAAAGUUCCAACGGUACAAGAUGAGCAUGCGUCCCAUUAGUUAGUUGGUAAGGUAACGGCUUACCAAGACGAUGAUGGGUAGGGGUCCUGAGAGGGAGAUCCCCCACACUGGUACUGAGACACGGACCAGACUCCUACGGGAGGCAGCAGUGAGGAAUAUUGGUCAAUGGGCGCAAGCCUGAACCAGCCAUGCCGCGUGCAGGAUGCCGGUCCUAUGGAUUGUAAACUGCUUUUAUACGGGAAGAAACACUCCUACGUGUAGGAACUUGACGGUACCGUAAGAAUAAGGAUCGGCUAACUCCGUGCCAGCAGCCGCCGUAAUAC
rnacentral:rRNA from 1 species